rnacentral:rRNA from 1 species
GCAACGGAUAUCUCGGCUCACGCAUCSAUGAAGAACGCAGCAAAAUGGUWGAUYYSGUGUGAAUUKCACAAUCCCCGUGAGACCAUCKAGUUUUUGAACGCAAGUUGCGCCCAAACCCAUCMGGUUGAGGGCACUGCCUGCCUGGGCAGUCACGCAUCGCGUCGCAU